rnacentral:rRNA from 1 species
GUGGGGAAUAUUGCGCAAUGGGGGAAACCCUGACGCAGCAACGCCGCGUGAAGGAUGAAGGUUUUCGGAUUGUAAACUUCUUUGAUGAGGGACGAACAAAUGACGGUACCUCAAAAACAAGCCACGGCUAACUACGUGCCAGCAGCCGCGGUAAUACGUAGGUGGCGAGCGUUGUCCGGAAUUACUGGGUGUAAAGGGCGUGUAGGCGGGAUUGUAAGUCAGAUGUGAAAUUCCGUGGCUUAACCACGGCGGUGCAUCUGAAACUGCGAUUCUUGAGUGCUGGAGAGGAUAGUGGAAUUCCUAGUGUAGCGGUGAAAUGCGUAGAUAUUAGGAGGAACACCAGUGGCGAAGGCGGCUAUCUGGACAGUAACUGACGCUGAGGCGCGAAAGCGUGGGGAGCAAACAGGAUUAGAUACCCUGGUAGUCC